CAAUAGCGUAUAUUAAAGUUGUUGCGGUUAAAAAGCUCGUAGUUGGAUUUCUGCCGAGGACGACCGGUCCGCCCUCUGGGUGUGUAUCUGGUUUGGCCUGGGCAUCUUCUUGGAGAACGUAGCUGCACUUGACUGUGUGGUGCGGUGUCCAGGACUUUUACUUUGAGGAAAUUAGAGUGUUUCAAGCAGGCACACGCCUUGAAUACAUUAGCAUGGAAUAAUAAGAUAGGACCUCGGUUCUAUUUUGUUGGUUUCUAGAGCUGAGGUAAUGAUUAAUAGGGAUAGUUGGGGGCAUUCGUAUUUAACUGUCAGAGGUGAAAUUCUUGGAUUUGUUAAAAACGGACUACUGCGAAAGCAUUUGCCAAGGAUGUUUUCAUUGA
rnacentral:rRNA from 1 species